GUGGGAAAACCGUAUAAGUAUAAACUAUGUCUAAUUGAUGAACAAGUACGAUAGUGGAAAGCACUUCAGUUUUUCGUGAUACAUUUAGUAUAUUGUUUCCGGAUAAGAGGUUUAAUUCCAGGUACUGCAGGAAAACACUAUCCUAUAUUGGCUAACUGAUAUUGAAACUUCCAAGAGAAGUGUAUUUAAAAUAUUUAAAAUGUAGUAUUAUUUUUUGGUAUAUACCUUAAACUAACAUAUAGGAUAUUCUCUCUAUACUGAUAUAUCUUGAACCGAGAUGAAUGAGAAAUACUCAACAAUCAUCCUAUAUCAUUCGAAUAGGAAUUAUUAGCUCACUAAU